rnacentral:rRNA from 1 species
CGAUUGUGCCCCUAGAUGUUGGGGGCGUUGAUCCCUCUCCAGUGUCGGCAGCUAACGCAUUAAGUGCCACCCGCCCUGGGGAGUACGGUCGCAAGAUUAAAACUUCAAAGGAAUUGACGGGGGCCCGCACAAGCGGUGGAGUAUGUGGUUUAAUUCGAUGCAACGCGAAGAACCUUACCUGGCCUUGACAUCCCGGGGAUCUCUUGGAAACAGGAGAGUGCUUUCAUUAGAGAGAACCUGGGACAGGUGCUGCAUGGCUGUCGUCAGCUCGUGUCGUGAGAUGUUGGGUUAAGUCCCGCAACGAGCGCAACCCUCGCCUUUAGUUGCCAUCAGUUUGGCUGGGCACUCUAAAGGGACUGCCCGGUGUCAAACCGGAGGAAGGUGGGGAUGACGUCCAAGUCCCCCAUGGCCUUUAUGGCCAGGGCUACACACGUACU